rnacentral:lncRNA from 1 species
CCAAGCUCUCAGCAGAAAUACGUAAGUCCUUUUCCUCCCUUUCAAGAUAAAAGAUGGAUGGUUUUAUGCUGAGAAACUCUUCUUUCCUUGAUUCAAUCUUUGUUACUUUACUUAAAACUGAUUUUUUUCUUCUCUUUUAAAGGUAGACUCAAUGCGCUGCUCGGUAAGGCCUUCUUCUGUCUCUCCUCCGUACAGAAUUGCCCAUGGAGCUGAUGAACCUUUGCAAAAUUUUAUGCGAUUAGCUUGGAGGGACCUCUGGAGGUCUCUGGUCCAACCUCCCAAGCCGUACCAGCGCUCACGCCAUGGCGGGAUGGGGCUGCUGAGGGCCUUGUCCAGGCAAGGCUUGGGAACCUCCCUUGGACAUCUCCCAUUGCAGCCCCCUUAGAGUGGGGCGUUCGCGUUGCUCCUGGCAAAAAUGCCAACCGAAGCAAAGGUGCAGAUCGGUGGGGGGGGGGGGGGAUGUUUUGUUUUGUUUAGCAAAAUAUAAUUAGAAAAAUGGACAAACCAGCUUUGCACCCGAAAUUCUCUGAGCUUCGGCUUCAGCAGAGCUGUUAUCUCCAAGGAAGAGGGCAGCAUUGUGCAAAAAAUGGGGCUUGUUCUGUCUUUUUUGCCGUUCAGGGGACCGAGACUCGAGUCUUCGUAAGUGACGUUCUUCUCCUGGCAAGUAAAAUCUUGUUGUCAAGGGAAACUCACUGCAGAACUCGCCAAGUGCGACGCAACGAUCCGGUUAUUUACUGUGGAGCUUGGUAAGUUCUUCUGCAUUUUACUUCUUUUGUUGAUACGGAUGCGUUUCAUCUACCUUGAGAAAAGCAGGGUUUUCCAGGCAGAAUUACAGAAGCUUAAACCCUUCCAAAGUCAUGCAAAAAUAAUUGCAAGCAGGGAUAACUUAGGCUAGAAUAGAAACGACCUUGUGGUCUAAAUUGCAGCAACAAAGAUACAGAGAUGGGACAUGCAAAAGGCAGAACCAUGGAAAAUAACAUACGUUUAUUUUUCAUUUAUUUUUAGGGGAGCGUCAUACAAAAAUAGGUAAGUUUUAUGCCCUCCUUCUGUUAAGCAAACCUCUGGGUGAAUUUAGUUAUUGAUUAAGCUGUUUGCUUGCCUCACUUAAGUGAGUGUCCACUAUUUUUAUAUGCAUAUAUGUAUAUAAUUCAAAGUAAAAGAUUGGGGCUUUAGUUAACGCAGACAUCUAAGAAUUGAAGGACCAUGCACACACCGUUCCUGCGACUUUGCUCUGAAACUAAGCAAUAUUUUUAAUGAAACCUCUGCACAGUGCGGGUUGGGGGUCAAGAGGAGCUCAAAGCCAUAAAUUACCACCCAUUGCCUAUGCAUUCAUGCAGAAAAAAAAAAAGCAAUCUUAAAAAUAACCCUUUUUUCUCUAUUUUAAGGGGAACUCACUGCAGAAGUUGGUAAGUCAUUCUCCUGUUAGUCCUGACUUUGGUAGAAAUGAUAUAUCGGGAUAGGCAAUGAAGAAUUGAGUAAUCAUUUAUGUCUGUUUAUUUUUAGG